rnacentral:rRNA from 1 species
ACUAAGCGUACACGGUGGAUGCCCUGGCAGUCAGAGGCGAUGAAGGACGUGCUAAUCUGCGAUAAGCGUCGGUAAGGUGAUAUGAACCGUUAUAACCGGCGAUUUCCGAAUGGGGAAACCCAGUGUGAUUCGUCACACUAUCAUUAACUGAAUCCAUAGGUUAAUGAGGCGAACCGGGGGAACUGAAACAUCUAAGUACCCCGAGGAAAAGAAAUCAACCGAGAUUCCCCCAGUAGCGGCGAGCGAACGGGGAGCAGCCCAGAGCCUGAAUCAGUGUGUGUGUUAGUGGAAGCGUCUGGAAAGGCGCGCGAUACAGGGUGACAGCCCCGUACACAAAAAUGCACAUACUGUGAGCUCGAUGAGUAGGGCGGGACACGUGGUAUCCUGUCUGAAUAUGGGGGGACCAUCCUCCAAGGCUAAAUACUCCUGACUGACCGAUAGUGAACCAGUACCGUGAGGGAAAGGCGAAAAGAACCCCGGCGAGGGGAGUGAAAAAGAACCUGAAACCGUGUACGUACAAGCAGUGGGAGCACGCUUAGGCGUGUGACUGCGUACCUUUUGUAUAAUGGGUCAGCGACUUAUAUUCUGUAGCAAGGUUAACCGAAUAGGGGAGCCGAAGGGAAACCGAGUCUUAACUGGGCGUUAAGUUGCAGGGUAUAGACCCGAAACCCGGUGAUCUAGCCAUGGGCAGGUUGAAGGUUGGGUAACACUAACUGGAGGACCGAACCGACUAAUGUUGAAAAAUUAGCGGAUGACUUGUGGCUGGGGGUGAAAGGCCAAUCAAACCGGGAGAUAGCUGGUUCUCCCCGAAAGCUAUUUAGGUAGCGCCUCGUGAAUUCAUCUCCGGGGGUAGAGCACUGUUUCGGCAAGGGGGUCAUCCCGACUUACCAACCCGAUGCAAACUGCGAAUACCGGAGAAUGUUAUCACGGGAGACACACGGCGGGUGCUAACGUCCGUCGUGAAGAGGGAAACAACCCAGACCGCCAGCUAAGGUCCCAAAGUCAUGGUUAAGUGGGAAACGAUGUGGGAAGGCCCAGACAGCCAGGAUGUUGGCUUAGAAGCAGCCAUCAUUUAAAGAAAGCGUAAUAGCUCACUGGUCGAGUCGGCCUGCGCGGAAGAUGUAACGGGGCUAAACCAUGCACCGAAGCUGCGGCAGCGACACUAUGUGUUGUUGGGUAGGGGAGCGUUCUGUAAGCCUGUGAAGGUGUACUGUGAGGUAUGCUGGAGGUAUCAGAAGUGCGAAUGCUGACAUAAGUAACGAUAAAGCGGGUGAAAAGCCCGCUCGCCGGAAGACCAAGGGUUCCUGUCCAACGUUAAUCGGGGCAGGGUGAGUCGACCCCUAAGGCGAGGCCGAAAGGCGUAGUCGAUGGGAAACAGGUUAAUAUUCCUGUACUUGGUGUUACUGCGAAGGGGGGACGGAGAAGGCUAUGUUGGCCGGGCGACGGUUGUCCCGGUUUAAGCGUGUAGGCUGGUUUUCCAGGCAAAUCCGGAAAAUCAAGGCUGAGGCGUGAUGACGAGGCACUACGGUGCUGAAGCAACAAAUGCCCUGCUUCCAGGAAAAGCCUCUAAGCAUCAGGUAACAUCAAAUCGUACCCCAAACCGACACAGGUGGUCAGGUAGAGAAUACCAAGGCGCUUGAGAGAACUCGGGUGAAGGAACUAGGCAAAAUGGUGCCGUAACUUCGGGAGAAGGCACGCUGAUAUGUAGGUGAAGUCCCUCGCGGAUGGAGCUGAAAUCAGUCGAAGAUACCAGCUGGCUGCAACUGUUUAUUAAAAACACAGCACUGUGCAAACACGAAAGUGGACGUAUACGGUGUGACGCCUGCCCGGUGCCGGAAGGUUAAUUGAUGGGGUUAGCGCAAGCGAAGCUCUUGAUCGAAGCCCCGGUAAACGGCGGCCGUAACUAUAACGGUCCUAAGGUAGCGAAAUUCCUUGUCGGGUAAGUUCCGACCUGCACGAAUGGCGUAAUGAUGGCCAGGCUGUCUCCACCCGAGACUCAGUGAAAUUGAACUCGCUGUGAAGAUGCAGUGUACCCGCGGCAAGACGGAAAGACCCCGUGAACCUUUACUAUAGCUUGACACUGAACAUUGAGCCUUGAUGUGUAGGAUAGGUGGGAGGCUUUGAAGUGUGGACGCCAGUCUGCAUGGAGCCGACCUUGAAAUACCACCCUUUAAUGUUUGAUGUUCUAACGUUGACCCGUGAUCCGGGUUGCGGACAGUGUCUGGUGGGUAGUUUGACUGGGGCGGUCUCCUCCUAAAGAGUAACGGAGGAGCACGAAGGUUGGCUAAUCCUGGUCGGACAUCAGGAGGUUAGUGCAAUGGCAUAAGCCAGCUUGACUGCGAGCGUGACGGCGCGAGCAGGUGCGAAAGCAGGUCAUAGUGAUCCGGUGGUUCUGAAUGGAAGGGCCAUCGCUCAACGGAUAAAAGGUACUCCGGGGAUAACAGGCUGAUACCGCCCAAGAGUUCAUAUCGACGGCGGUGUUUGGCACCUCGAUGUCGGCUCAUCACAUCCUGGGGCUGAAGUAGGUCCCAAGGGUAUGGCUGUUCGCCAUUUAAAGUGGUACGCGAGCUGGGUUUAGAACGUCGUGAGACAGUUCGGUCCCUAUCUGCCGUGGGCGCUGGAGAACUGAGGGGGGCUGCUCCUAGUACGAGAGGACCGGAGUGGACGCAUCACUGGUGUUCGGGUUGUCAUGCCAAUGGCACUGCCCGGUAGCUAAAUGCGGAAGAGAUAAGUGCUGAAAGCAUCUAAGCACGAAACUUGCCCCGAGAUGAGUUCUCCCUGACUCCUUGAGAGUCCUGAAGGAACGUUGAAGACGACGACGUUGAUAGGCCGGGUGUGUAAGCGCAGCGAUGCGUUGAGCUAACCGGUACUAAUGAACCGUGAGGCUUAACC